rnacentral:ncRNA from 2 species
GGCUACGGUGGACGUGCUGGUCCUCCCGUCUCCGGGAGGGGUGAGAGGGAAUCCGGUGCGAAUCCGGGACUGCCCCGCAGCGGUGAGUGGGAACGACAUCGGCAUACGCACUGGGACGACCACCUGGGAAGCGCCGGUGAAGGACCCGUGGCCUCGCGCCACGGCAGGGCUGCCCGUCCUGAGCGCCCACGAGUCCGAAGACCUGCCAGUGCAUCGUGCGCCGC